rnacentral:rRNA from 1 species
AUGGCCGGAGCCGUCCCCGACCCGCGAGGAUAUGAUCUAGAGCUCCGUCGACCUCGUCUGCAUCGCCUACAACCUCCAGUUCGAGCUGAAGCCCUCCACAACCUCGCCAUCUGGUCGUCUUCCCCGCCACGGCCAUGGCGCCAUCGCCGUCGAUCUCCACCACCGGCGCCUCCCCGUGGUUCCGAGAACGUCCACGACCUCCCUCGCAUUGAUGCAACCAGUUGGUGGAUCUCUGGAGCCAGAUGCCAUCGCCGACGGAUGCUACUACAUGGAGACCGCCGACGACCAGGAGUAGUUAGGAGGUCCCAGGCAGGAGGCCUUGCCUCUUCGAUCGUUGUUAUUUUUGUGCUUGCCUUCUUAAGGCAUCCUUGUUUAACUUAUGUCUGUACUCAGAUAUUGUUGCUUCCGCUGACUCGCUUAUGUAUCGAGCUAUGUAUUCAAGCCCUCGAGGCCCCUGGCUUGUAA